AGCCGGAUGGUCGAGUGGUAUGGCGAGGCUGAAAAACCUUUUACAGCGGUUCGAGUCCGCUUCCGGCGU
rnacentral:tRNA from 1 species